rnacentral:lncRNA from 1 species
GUGAAUGGAGAAGGAGGAAAAUGUUUGAAUCUUCAUAUUGGUCUAAAGAGGAGGCGGCAGAAGGAAGGAACAGGGAGUGAUUCGCAGUGGAUGAGUCGGCGGCGCUGCAGUUGCACAGGUUUUGCAACCAUCCAUCACAACAUCAGGCUCUGGAUUGAAGACGCUGCUGCCUGUGAGCGAAGCGCGGCUGAAGGACGCGACCACUGCUGUCACGUUCCAGUGGCCGUGACCACCGUGAGCUGCUCUAGUCUGCAGCCAAUCCUGCCUGAUGGCGAACGAUGCAGAGGAAACAACAUCUGCACCUCUAACCGUCGCCACUGCAUCGACUAAUCAACGUCGAGCUGAACGCGCCGUCUUCUGCCGCCGAAUCGCUCCCGUCGCCCUGCCGUCGCUUUGGCUCGAGAUCCCAAUCGCACAGUCGUUCUGUCAGCUCCAAGGCCGUCGCUGCCUUGAAACAAGUGGCGAAGUCGAGCAACAGAGUGGAGGGAGACGCGCAGAUUAUAGUGCUACUCCGCUGAGAGUCAUGGAGAACAGAAUCAUAUUUGAGAGCAGGAUUACAAUAGCCGCCGUAAACUGUAUGCAGCAAUGCCCAAACAAGCACGACGCCAUAUAG